CGCACAGCCACCGCCAGAGCCCCUUGGCCCCUUUUUCUGCCCCCCACCCCCCAAUAUCUCCUCUUGGCAUUAGCACUGCCCCAGCACCCGGUUGCAUCUCUAAUUUCUCAUGCAAGAGGCGGUUUUGCGAAAAUGGAGUUUGCUGCCUGCAUGGUCACUGAUUGCCCAAGGAAACCUCCUGCCUGUGUAAAGGUUACUCCAGUGCUAGAAACCCAGCGGAGUCUCCCGCAGUUAAUAUUGCACUUGCUGCGCAUCCACCUCCCCAGACGUGUCUGGGCGAUGGCCUGUGCAAAGGCCAUUUUGAAGAAGUAACACCAGCUUUUCAGAUAGCAGGAGUGUAUUUCCGAUUAAGCCAGGAGCCCCAAGUCCCACCUGUGGCAAGUGCUUGGGGGCCCCUUGGUCCGUGAGUCCCCAAACACGCGCCGGCACGGUGAAACUUCCAGUGCGUGACAAAUAAAGGCGGUUUGCGGCCCCAGCAGGCGUCUCUCUGCAAGCUCCCCUCUUACCUCGGCAUCGCAUCAGUGGGCGUCAGAAAAGCCCCCCGCUGAGGUCACACUUCGGGGCCAGGGUGGGGGGGGGGGGAAUGACACACAGCACGGUUAUGGCCACGCACUCCCCCCAGCCGCCGGGGCCAUGGGGGAGAGGGGAGGUGAGGGGCCAGGGGCGCGCCGGCGGGGAUAGAGACCCUUCCCUGCACUGGUGGCGCUGGUUUCUCCGAGGGGAACCGCAGUCCUGGGGACAGGGAUGGGCUGCCUGGCUGCCCCGGGGAAGGGCUGGGGGCCAGCUGUUCCCUGAGGGAGGAAUAAAGCCAACAGCAAAAGGAGGAUUUACUGGUCACUCUUGUGCUGUUCUGCUCCCAGGGACCUGGAAACUCGGCUUUUGCUGUGCCAGUUGCCCUGCGACUGAGUCAUCCAUAAGAAAGUAA
rnacentral:lncRNA from 1 species